rnacentral:miRNA from 1 species
AGUGGCUUUGGUCAGCUUUGG